rnacentral:rRNA from 1 species
AGAGCAAUCUGCCCUUCUCAUCGGAAUAAGCGUUGGAAACGACGUCUAAUGCCGAAUACGACCUCCUUUCGCAUGAUCGGAGUGGAAAGCUCCGGCGGAGAAGGAUGAGCUCGCGGCCUAUCAGCUAGUUGGUGUGGGUAAUGGCCCACCAAGGCGACGACGGGUAGCCGGCCUGAGAGGGUGACCGGCCACACUGGGACUGAGACACGGCCCAGACUCCGUACGGGAGCAG